UUGGACCGCACAGAUUUAGACC
rnacentral:miRNA from 1 species